AGAGUUUGAUCCUGGCUCAGGACGGACGCUGGCGGCGUGCUUAACACAUGCAAGUCGAACGGAAAGGCCCUUCGGGGUACUCGAGUGGCGAACGGGUGAGUAACACGUGGGUGAUCUGCCCUGCACUUUGGGAUAAGCCUGGGAAACUGGGUCUAAUACCGAAUAUGACCAUGCACUUCCUGGUGUGUGGUGGAAAGCUUUUGCGGUGUGGGAUGGGCCCGCGGCCUAUCAGCUUGUUGGUGGGGUAAUGGCCUACCAAGGCGACGACGGGUAGCCGGCCUGAGAGGGUGACCGGCCACACUGGGACUGAGAUACGGCCCAGACUCCUACGGGAGGCAGCAGUGGGGAAUAUUGCACAAUGGGCGCAAGCCUGAUGCAGCGACGCCGCGUGAGGGAUGACGGCCUUCGGGUUGUAAACCUCUUUCAGCACAGACGAAGCGCAAGUGACGGUAUGUGCAGAAGAAGGACCGGCCAACUACGUGCCAGCAGCCGCGGUAAUACGUAGGGUCCGAGCGUUGUCCGGAAUUACUGGGCGUAAAGAGCUCGUAGGUGGUUUGUCGCGUUGUUCGUGAAAACUCACAGCUUAACUGUGGGCGUGCGGGCGAUACGGGCAGACUUGAGUACUGCAGGGGAGACUGGAAUUCCUGGUGUAGCGGUGGAAUGCGCAGAUAUCAGGAGGAACACCGGUGGCGAAGGCGGGUCUCUGGGCAGUAACUGACGCUGAGGAGCGAAAGCGUGGGGAGCGAACAGGAUUAGAUACCCUGGUAGUCC
rnacentral:rRNA from 1 species